rnacentral:rRNA from 1 species
UGGGGAAUCUUCCGCAAUGGACGAAAGUCUGACGGAGCAACGCCGCGUGAGUGAUGACGGCCUUCGGGUUGUAAAGCUCUGUUAAUCGGGACGAAUGGUUCUUGUGCAAAUAGUGCGAGGAUUUGACGGUACCGGAAUAGAAAGCCACGGCUAACUACGUGCCAGCAGCCGCGGUAAUACGGAGGUGGCAAGCGUUGUCCGGAAUUAAUGGGCGUAAAGCGCGCGCAGGCGGAUUGGUCAGUCUGUCUUAAAAGUUCGGGGCUUAAACCCGUGAUGGGAUGGAAACUGCCAAUCUAGAGUAUCGGAGAGGAAAGUGGAAUUCCUAGUGUAGCGGUGAAAUGCGUAGAUAUUAGGAAGAGCACCAGUGGCGAAGGCGACGUUCUGGACGAAAACUGACGCUGAGGCGCGAAAGCCAGGGGAGCGAACGGG